rnacentral:tRNA from 1 species
CGCGGGGUAGAGCAGUCUGGUAGCUCGCGAGGCUCAUAACCUCGAGGUCGCAGGUUCGAAUCCUGCUCCCGCCA